GAUGAAGAACGCAGCGAAAUGCGAUAAGUAAUGCGAAUUGCAGAAUUUCCGUGAGUCAUCGAAUCUUUGAACGCACAUUGCGCCCACUGGUAUUCCGGUGGGCAUGCCUGUUCGAGCGUCAUUAUCCUCCCUCAAACCCCGGGUUUGGUGUUGGACCCAAGUUGUGUGAACAACUGGUCUCAAAGACAAUGACGGCGUCCGUGGGACCCUCGGUGCAACGAGCUUUUAGGAGCACGCAUCGAGUUGCAAGGAACUUCCGGGCCGGUCUCCUUUACCAUUUUACAAGGUUGACCUCGGAUCAGGUAGGAAUACCCGCUGAACUUAAGCAUAUCAAUAAGCGGAGGA
rnacentral:misc_RNA from 1 species